rnacentral:lncRNA from 1 species
AUAACGUUGAGCAAAUAAAGAUACUGCAGUCAGCGUUACAACCUUCAUUAAACAGAAUGAAUUGGUGUUACAGAAAUGGAUAACAUAUGGAGACAAACACUUUCAGGCUACAGAAACUACACAUUGUUUGAGACUAUGAGAAUGGCUUAUUUUCAUGAUGGAACUCAUACCACAAAGAAAGAACUUGCUUUAUCUUAUUUCUUAUAACUAGUCCCCAAAGACAUACCCAAGUAAACUACAACAGGAAUGAAAGCAAACAGUCGAUUCAGGAUUUAGAAUUGAAUGUUUUUGUGUCAACAGUGUGUGAAAACUGUGGAAAAUAGGAUUUUAAUUUCAAGGAUUUGAUUUAGUAUGUCAAGGAGUGAUUUGUUUUUAAUUCAUCACACAAGUUAUUGACAAUGCUCUAAAAUAUAAAUAGGAUGUGUAAAUACAGACUUUCAUACCUAACUAAAAUAAUGUUGAACUCAACAGAAUAAACAAACUACCAUCUGUUGUAUGAUAUAUUAGUUGAUUUAUCAAACUUCGUCAGUUUUGUUACAUUACUUAUCAUUGAUAGAAUCUAUUAUCUAAUAACCCUUUACAGUGUGUCAAGUACUCAUCAUUAUAAGCUAUUUUGAAAUAAUUACAGGACUGAUAUUUUA